GACGAACGCUGGCGGCGCGCUUUAUACAUGCAAGUCGAACGUGAAGCUCGGAGCUUGCUCCGGGUGGAAAGUGGCGAACGGGUGAGUAUCACGUGAGAAACCUGCCCCGAAGACCGGGAGUAACACCGGGAAACCGGGUAGCUAAUACCGGAUGCCCUCCACCGGAUCGCAUGGUCUGGUGAGGAAAUGGAUUCCGCUUCGGGAGUGGUCUCGCGGCCUAUCAGCUUGUUGGUGGGGUAAUGGCCCACCAAGGCUUCGACGGGUAGCUGGUCUGAGAGGAUGUCCAGCCACACUGGGACUGAGACACGGCCCAGACUCCUACGGGAGGCAGCAGUAGGGAAUCUUGCACAAUGGACGAAAGUCUGAUGCAGCGACGCCGCGUGUGGGAUGACUGCCCUCGGGUUGUAAACCACUUUCAGCAGGGACGAAAUUGACGGUACCUGCAGAAGAAGCCCCGGCCAACUACGUGCCAGCAGCCGCGGUAAU
rnacentral:rRNA from 1 species